AGUCGAGGGGUAGAGGAAGCUUGCUUCCUUGAGACCGGCGCACGGGUGCGUAACGCGUAUGCAAUCUACCUUGUACAGGGGGAUAGCCCAGAGAAAUUUGGAUUAAUACCCCAUAGCGUAAUUGAAUGGCAUCAUUUAAUUACUAAAGUUCCAACGGUACAAGAUGAGCAUGCGUCCUAUUAGCUAGUUGGUGUGGUAACGGCACACCAAGGCUACGAUAGGUAGGGGUCCUGAGAGGGAGAUCCCCCACACUGGUACUGAGACACGGACCAGACUCCUACGGGAGGCAGCAGUGAGGAAUAUUGGACAAUGGGCGCAAGCCUGAUCCAGCCAUGCCGCGUGCAGGAAGAAGCAUCUAUGGUGUGUAAACUGCUUUUGUACGGGAAGAAACACUGCUACGUGUAGCAGCUUGACGGUACCGUAAGAAUAAGGAUCGGCUAACUCCGUGCCAGCAGCCGCGGUAAUACGGAGGAUCCAAGCGUUAUCCGGAAUCAUUGGGUUUAAAGGGUCCGU
rnacentral:rRNA from 1 species